GGGGCACUAGCAGGAUGUUUGGCUUGUCCAUUAUUAUCUAUUUACUGUGAACUGUAUUAUUACUUGACGCUUGAGGGAUGCUCCACUGCUAUAAGGAUAGGCGGUGGGGAUGUUAACCGAGUCAUAGUCAAGCUUAGGCUUGGUAUCCUAUUAUUAUUUACCAAAAGAAUUCAGAAUUAAUAUUGUAACAUAGACCUAAAAAAUCUAUAAAACAACUUUUAACAACGGAUCUCUUGGUUCUCGCAUCGAUGAAGAACGUAGCAAAGUGCGAUAACUAGUGUGAAUUGCAUAUUCAGUGAAUCAUCGAGUCUUUGAACGCAACUUGCGCUCAUUGGUAUUCCAAUGAGCACGCCUGUUUCAGUAUCAAAACAAACCCUCUAUCCAGCAUUUUGUUGAAUAGGAAUACUGAGAGUCUCCUGAUCUAUUCUGAUCUCGAACCUCUUGAAAUGUACAAAGGCCUGAUCUUGUUUAAAUGCCUGAACUUUUUUUUAAUAUAAAGAGAAGCUCUUGCGGUAAACUGUGCUGGGGCCUCCCAAAUAAUACUCUUUUUAAAUUUGAUCUGAAAUCAGGCGGGAUUACCCGCUGAACUUAAGCAUAUCAAAAGCCGCAGAGGAAA
rnacentral:rRNA from 1 species